rnacentral:tRNA from 1 species
GCGCACUUAGCUUAGUUGGUAAAAAGCAUCACUCAUGAAGUUUUGAGGACAUGGGUUCAAAUCCCAUAGUGCACA